CUGCACCCCCACGCGCCGCCCCACCAUCCACUGGCGUUGCUCGCUCAUCCAGUCUGGUUUACAUGGACGAUGGCGCAAAAUUGGCCUCUUAGGAGAUGGGACGGCGCUCUUCGCCGUGUUCAGCACGAGGAAUAUCCAAAGCAGCCUAAUAAAAGAAGAAACGGACGGGGUGUUUGAAGUUCCUGCCGUGGAUGUAGGCAUCUGCUGGACAAAUGGCAUCAUGUACCACCCCCCUAACCUGUAGCCACUCCACCAUGAACUGCAGCUGUGCGCGUAUGCGUUCCGCUGAGAAAUCAAAAGCGUUGGGUUCAGUCUGAAUAAGAUGGUAGUUAAUUCACCAUAUUGUGUUACCUCUGAACCAGAGAGUAAAUCACACAAAUGUAGCUCCUUUACUCUGCAGGUUUGUCAUACAUUCAACAUUGGUGGCUUUUGUGCUAUUCUGCUCGAGAAAAAUGAUCUUUGGGGAACUUUGCUAGUAGUAGACAGCGAGUGUGCUUUUAAAUACCUAUAGAGCAUCAUAUCAUUUAAAAAUUGUUUGAAAUGCUAUGCGUAUCCAUUAUGGUCGCAAAAAUACGCAUGGUUGACUGGCAGAAGUUCCUAAAGAGUUGUCAUAUUAAUCUUCAGAGUUCAGAUAAUUGUAUUUUGGGCCGCUGGAACCUGAUGGCUCAAGCUUGUAAAAGGAUAUUUAGAAGUUCAAAAUAAAAAAUAGUGUUAUGUGCUGCUGCGUC